rnacentral:rRNA from 1 species
CGGCGGACGGGUGAGUAACACGUGGAUAACCUACCUAUAAGACUGGGAUAACUUCGGGAAACCGGAGCUAAUACCGGAUAAUAUGUUGAACCGCAUGGUUCAAUAGUGAAAGACGGUUUUGCUGUCACUUAUAGAUGGAUCCGCGCCGCAUUAGCUAGUUGGUAAGGUAACGGCUUACCAAGGCAACGAUGCGUAGCCGACCUGAGAGGGUGAUCGGCCACACUGGAACUGAGACACGGUCCAG